rnacentral:rRNA from 1 species
AACGAACGUUGGCGGCGUGGAUUAGGCACGCAAGUCGAACGAAUCCCGCCGGCGUAGCAAUACGUCGGCGGGGGAAGUGGCGAAAGGGGCAGUAAGGCGUGGGUAACCUACCCCGGGGAUGGGCAUAGCCGUUCUAACGGACGGGUAAUACCCAGCGAUCCGGCGGGGGGGCAUCCCUUUACCGGGUAAUGAGCUUCGCCUCGGGCGGGGCCCACGUGCUAUUAGCUAGUUGGCGGGGUAACGGCCCACCAAGGCAAAGAUGGCUAGCGGGUGUGAGAGCACGACCCGCGCCACUGGCACUGAGACACUGGCCAGACACCUACGGGUGGCUGCAGUCGAGGAUCUUCGUCAAUGGGCGCAAGCCUGAACGAGCGACGCCGCGUGUGCGAUGAAGGCCUUCGGGUUGUAAAGCACUGUCGAGGGGGACCAAGCCGGUGAAAGCCGGUUGAUCGAUCCCUGGAGGAAGCACGGGCUAAGUUCGUGCCAGCAGCCGCGGUAAGACGAACCGUGCGAACGUUGUUCGGAAUCACUGGGCUUAAAGGGCGCGUAAGCGGCCCGCGAGGUCGGGGGUGAAAUCCCGCGGCUC